GCAUGUAGCUCAGUAGUAGAGUGCUUGCUUGGCAUGUACGAGGCCCUGGGUUCAAUCCUUAGCGCAUGCA
rnacentral:tRNA from 1 species